UACGAAGGGGGCUAGCGUUGCUCGGAAUUACUGGGCGUAAAGCGCACGUAGGCGGACCAUCAAGUCGGGGGUGAAAUCCUGGAGCUCAACUCCAGAACUGCCUUCGAUACUGGAAAGCUCGAGUCCGGGAGAGGUGAGUGGAACUGCGAGUGUAGAGGUGAAAUUCGUAGAUAUUCGCAAGAACACCAGUGGCGAAGGCGGCUCACUGGCCCGGUACUGACGCUGAGGUGCGAAAGCGUGGGGAGCAAACAGG
rnacentral:rRNA from 1 species